rnacentral:lncRNA from 1 species
ACCCUCAGUCUGGGCCUGUCUUCCUCCAGACAUUGAAAUGUAGAGCAGAAUUUUUUCCAGUAGCGCUGAAGUCCCGCUAGAAGCUGACAGGGAACUCCAGAGCACAGGUUUUGUGGUUCCUGGAACUGCAGCUCACUCCUGAGUGGCAGCUAUUGGCACCUCUGUCUCAGCUGCUGUGAGUAUUGCUGGUUCUUAGCCACAGAGGUAAGGGUACAGCAUUUCACAGGAGCAGGUCCAUAUAUCCACCAUGGAUAAAAGUUCCUCCAAAUGCAUGUUGGACUUCAGUCACCUUUAGUGGUUUAGACACCUUUAGUGGUUUUAGUGACUAAACCAUAAAAUUUCCUUCUCUUGCUUAUCUGAAACCCAUUCUAACAACCCAGUCAAACUGCCACAUCUGUGGCUUCCUGGGCUGCAAUAAAGCUUGUCUUGCUAUUGAUGGUUAACAGCAGCUAAGCAAUCUCUUCAGUGUGAUUCAUCACCCCUAAAUUUGGCUGCCUAAAUAUUAGACAUCUCAUCUGAACCAGUCAUCUACCUAGCCUCAAAAUUAGUCAUCAGAGAUAAGCAGCUCAACACUACCUGUGUCAAGAGAGGUUUCUGGCAGAGAUAGGGGGUUAAAUCAUCUCUGAAGCUGUAGUUACAAGCUGAAUUCUGAGCACAGUAAAUCCUGCUGAAGACUCCUGAAUUCCAUGCGGGAAGAAGAUGAUGCGUGGCGUGUGCACAAUUUGCUGGGAGGAGAGGUGUUAAACAGCACCUGCACCGCGGUGGUGGCAGCAGAAACAUGGCAAAGGCUUCCCCAACAAGGAACCUGGACGGGAUCGACCUCCCGGCACCGCAGAAUCCUGCGGGAAUCCCUGGAUUGCUGGAAAUCAUUGGCAAUGGUGCCUACAAGCAGCAGUUUCUCUUCUAGUCAGAGGAGAGGAUGAAGUGAUGUAAAACAACGUGACGACACCAAGGGCAGUGGAAAAGAGAGGGAAGAGCUGCUUCAAGUGCUGGAGCCGAGAUUCCUCUGCAGGCCGUGGUGAAACAAAAUGUCCCCUCGUGGCGUGUGAAUGAGGGAUGCAGAGAUCCACGCACAGCCCACGGGAGGAGUGCUCAUGCUGGAGCAGGGGGUGUUAGAGAGAGCUGUGAUCCUGUAGGAAACCCAAAUAAAGAGAGAAGGUCUCUGCUUCCA